UAGGAUUUACUGGUGCUGACACUAGC
rnacentral:piRNA from 1 species